UAGUCAUUAGUGCUCAUUUUCUGGUUAAUAGUUACAAGAAUUGAGAAAUGAGUUUGAAUAGGAAGGCCCAAAGAUUAAGCACAAGUUGACAACUUGACAUGCUUCUAUUGAGGAAGUCCUUGCAGGACCUGAAAGAUGUUAAUCGAGACAUAUGUUACUUGGACUCGGGAAGCAAACAACACUUAGCAAUCAAACGAACUGCCUGUGAUGAGGUAUAAUAUUUUUGAACAACAUUUAUUUUGGUGGAACUGAAUCAACAUUUCCAAGGUGUUUUCAGUGAAUGCAUUGUUCUGUAAGUUGAAAGAAGGAAGAAAAGGCAGUCUAAAAGAAGCAGCUGAGCUGAUGAGUGAGUUCCAUCAUCCAAAGGAAUUGAAGAACCCUAAGUCUCAUAAGCAAAUAAAGUGACCGAGCCAUCUACUAUUGGCCACAACUCCAGCUCAUCUGCUACUAGUGAAAUAAAAAACAAUGUACAAAUCUGUAAUUAUGUAAAAGAAUUGAUCUUAAAUGCAACUGUUGAAAAUGA